rnacentral:rRNA from 1 species
CGGGGGGAUUAGUGGCGAACGGGUGAGUAACACGUGAGUAACCUGCCCUUAACUCUGGGAUAAGCCUUGGAAACGGGGUCUAAUACUGGAUAUUGACUUUUCACCGCAUGGUGGUUGGUUGAAAGAUUUAUUGGUUUUGGAUGGACUCGCGGCCUAUCAGCUUGUUGGUGAGGUAAUGGCUCACCAAGGCGACGACGGGUAGCCGGCCUGAGAGGGUGACCGGCCACACUGGGACUGAGACACGGCCCAGACUCCUACGGGAGGCAGCAGUGGGGAAUAUUGCACAAUGGGCGCAAGCCUGAUGCAGCGACGCCGCGUGAGGGAUGACGGCCUUCGGGUUGUAAACCUCUUUCAGUAGGGAACAAGGCCAGUGUUUAGCUGGUUGAGGGUACCUGCAGAAGAAGCGCCGGCUAACUACGUGCCAGCAGCCGCGGUAAUACGUAGGGCGCAAGCGUUAUCCGGAAUUAUUGGGCGUAAAGAGCUCGUAGGCGGUUUGUCGCGUCUGCCGUGAAAGUCCGGGGCUCAACCCCGGAUCUGCGGUGGGUACGGGCAGACUAGAGUGAUGUAGGGGAGACUGGAAUUCCUGGUGUAGCGGUGAAAUGCGCAGAUAUCAGGAGGAACACCGAUGGCGAAGGCAGGUCUCUGGGCAUUAACUGACGCUGAGGAGCGAAAGCAUGGGGAGCGAACAGGAUUAGAUACCCUGGUAGUCCAUGCCGUAAACGUUGGGCACUAGGUGUGGGGGACAUUCCACGUUUUCCGCGCCGUAGCUAACGCAUUAAGUGCCCCGCCUGGGGAGUACGGCCGCAAGGCUAAAACUCAAAGGAAUUGACGGGGGCCCGCACAAGCGGCGGAGCAUGCGGAUUAAUUCGAUGCAACGCGAAGAACCUUACCAAGGCUUGACAUGAACUGGAAACACCUGGAAACAGGUGCCCCGCUUGCGGUCGGUUUACAGGUGGUGCAUGGUUGUCGUCAGCUCGUGUCGUGAGAUGUUGGGUUAAGUCCCGCAACGAGCGCAACCCUCGUUCUAUGUUGCCAGCACGUAAUGGUGGGGACUCAUGGGAGACUGCCGGGGUCAACUCGGAGGAAGGUGAGGACGACGUCAAUCAUCAUGCCCCUUAUGUCUUGGGCUUCACCAUGCUACAAUGGCCGGUACCAUGGGUUGCGAUACUGGGAGGUGGAACUAAUCCCAAAAACCGGUUCCAUUUCGAAUGGGGGCUGCACUCCACCCCUGAAUCCGAAUCCCUAUAAUCCGAAACACAACCCUCGGGGAAUAUUUCCCGGCCUGUUAACCCCCCGUCAA